UACGGGGGGGGCAAGCGUUGCUCGGAAUCACUGGGCGUAAAGCGCACGUAGGCGGAUUGUUAAGUCAGGGGUGAAAUCCUGGAGCUCAACUCCAGAACUGCCUUUGAUACUGGCGACCUUGAGUUCGGGAGAGGUGAGUGGAACUGCGAGUGUAGAGGUGAAAUUCGUAGAUAUUCGCAAGAACACCAGUGGCGAAGGCGGCUCACUGGCCCGAUACUGACGCUGAGGCACGAAAGCGUGGGGAGCAAACAGGG
rnacentral:rRNA from 1 species